CUCUCUCUUUCACUGCAAGGCGGCGGCAGGAGCGGUUGUGGUGCUGGUUUCUCUAAGCCAUCCAGUGCCAUCCUCGUCGCUGCAGCGACACACGCGCUCGCCGCCGCCAUGACUGAGCAGAUGACCCUUCGUGGCACCCUCAAGGGCCACAACGGCUGGGUAACCCAGAUCGCUACUACACCGCAGUUCCCGGACAUGAUCCUCUCCGCCUCUCGAGUGUGGCCGGGGGCCUACGGGCCGGGCGGGGCGGUGAUGACCCCAACAUGCCAUCUGAGUGUCGGUGCUGAAAUCCAGAGGCUGUUUCUGAGCUGCCGCCCGGCCCAAGGCUCGUGGGGAGGCAGGUGGACUCCAGAGGACCUCGUGGCUCAAGUCUCGGCCUACUUUUUCUGCCCCUGGUUCUCCCCGUCCCUAUCCCUGUGUUCCUGACUGCGUUUAGACGCUUCUUGUGCUUCCGCUUUGCUGCUACACUGUUAAGAAUUGUCUGACUUUUGAAUCAUGUCUGGCUGUUAAUCGUAAAAUUUGUUGAGUGGGACAGGUUUCAGUAAAAGCAUCCAAUCCUGUAGCGCCUGAAGUGGCUUUUC
rnacentral:sRNA from 1 species